UGGGGAAUAUUGGACAAUGGGCGAAAGCCUGAUCCAGCCAUGCCGCGUGUGUGAAGAAGGUCUUCGGAUUGAAAAGCACUUUAAGUUGGGAGGAAGGGCAGUAAGCGAAUACCUUGCUGUUUCGACGUUACCGACAGAAUAAGCACCGGCUAACUCUGUGCCAGCAGCCGCGGUAAUACAGAGGGUGCAAGCGUUAAUCGGAAUUACUGGGCGUAAAGCGCGCGUAGGUGGUUCGUUAAGUUGAAUGUGAAAGCCCCGGGCUCAACCUGGGAACUGCAUCCAAAACUGGCGAGCUAGAGUAGGGCAGAGGGUGGUGGAAUUUCCUGUGUAGCGGUGAAAUGCGUAGAUAUAGGAAGGAACACCAGUGGCGAAGGCGACCACCUGGGCUCAUACUGACACUGAGGUGCGAAAGCGUGGGGAGCAAACAGG
rnacentral:rRNA from 1 species